rnacentral:sRNA from 1 species
CCGUGGGCUUACGCCCACGGCUAAGUCAUGUCGCCGCGUCGCGGCU